AAUAUUGGGCAAUGGGCGCAAGCCUGACCCACACAUGCCGCGUGAAGGAUGAAGGCCCUAUGGGUUGUAAACUUCUUUUGUACGGGACAAAACUCUCGGUCGUGACCGGGAUUGAUGGUACUGUAUGAAUAAGCAUCGGCUAACUCCGUGCCAGCAGCCGCGGUAAUACGGAGGAUGCGAGCGUUAUCCGGAUUCAUUGGGUUUAAAGGGUGCGUAUGCGGAAUAAUAAGUCAGUGGUGAAAGCUUGCGGCUUAACCGUAAAAUUGCCGUUGAUACUGUUAUUCUUGAGUAUAGUUGAAGUGGGCGGAAUGUGUAAUGUAGCGGUGAAAUGCUUAGAUAUUACACAGAACACCAAUUGCGAAGGCAGCUCACUAAGCUGUUACUGACGCUGAGGCACGAAAGCGUGGGGAGCAAACAGGAUUAGAUACCCUGGUAGUCCACGCUGUAAACGAUGAUCACUCGUUGUUGGCGAUAUACCGUCAGCGACUGAGCGAAAGCAAUAAGUGAUCCACCUGGGGAGUACGGCGGCAACGCUGAAACUCAAAGGAAUUGACGGGGGCCCGCACAAGCGGAGGAACAUGUGGUUUAAUUUCGAUGAUACGCGAGGAACCUUACCUGGGCUUGAAAGGGGAAUGACCUCCCGGGAAACCGGGAUUCUCUUUCGGAGCAUUCUCCUAGGUGCUGCAUGGUUGUCGUCAGCUCGUGCCGUGAGGUGUCGGGUUAAGUCCCAUAACGAGCGCAACCCCUAUUGUUAGUUGCCAGCGGGUAAUGCCGGGAACUCUAACGAAACUGCCGGUGUAAACCGAGAGGAAGGUGGGGAUGACGUCAAAUCAGCACGGCCCUUAUGUCCAGGGCUACACACGUGUUACAAUGGCCGGUACAAAGGGCAGCUACUUGGUGACAAGAUGCUAAUCUCUAAAACCGGUCUCAGUUCGGAUCGAAGUCUGCAACUCGACUUCGUGAAGCUGGAUUCGCUAGUAAUCGCGCAUCAGCAACGGCGCGGUGAAUACGUUCCCGGGCCUUGUACACACCGCCCGUCAAGCCAUGGAAGCUGGGAGUACCUGAAGUCUGUAACCGAAAGAAGCGGCCUAGGGUAAAACCAGUGACUGGGGCUAAGUCGUAACAAG
rnacentral:rRNA from 1 species